GACGAACGCUGGCGGCGUGCUUAACACAUGCAAGUCGAACGGUGAAGCGGAGCUUGCUCCGCGGAUCAGUGGCGAACGGGUGAGUAACACGUGAGCAACCUACCCUUGACUCUGGGAUAACAGCUGGAAACAGCUGCUAAUACCGGAUACGACCCCGGCAGGCAUCUGCUGGGGUGGAAAGCUCCGACGGUCAGGGAUGGGCUCGCGGCCUAUCAGCUUGUUGGUGAGGUAACGGCUCACCAAGGCGACGACGGGUAGCCGGCCUGAGAGGGCGACCGGCCACACUGGGACUGAGAUACGGCCCAGACUCCUACGGGAGGCAGCAGUGGGGAAUAUUGCACAAUGGGCGAAAGCCUGAUGCAGCAACGCCGCGUGCGGGAUGACGGCCUUCGGGUUGUAAACCGCUUUCAGCAGGGACGAAGCUAACGUGACGGUACCUGCAGAAGAAGCACCGGCUAACUACGUG
rnacentral:rRNA from 1 species